rfam:Gossypium arboreum cultivar AKA8401 contig_14751_1, whole genome shotgun sequence.
AGCCUUGUUUCAUAGCCAAGAAUGACUUGCCUACUCAUCUCUCAUCAUUGGCUGGGAACUCACAAGCAAGCAGGCAAGCCAAUCUUGGCUAACUUGACAGUCUCU